AUAAUGAUACUUCCGGAUUGCAGAGCAGUCUGCAAUCCGGUCAAUAAAAUGACGGUGCAAGACCGAUGU
rfam:Anaerosporobacter mobilis DSM 15930 genome assembly, contig: EJ17DRAFT_scaffold00002.2